rnacentral:tRNA from 1 species
GGGCAAUUAGUUUAUAGAAAACAAAUGUUUUGAAAACAUUAAAAAAGAAGAUACUCUUAUUGCC